rnacentral:rRNA from 1 species
UACGUAGGGACCGAGCGUUGUCCGGAAUCAUUGGGCGUAAAGCGCGCGUAGGCGGUUACUUAAGUCGAAUGUGAAAGCCCUCGGCUUAACCGAGGAAGUGCAUCCGAAACUGAGUAGCUAGAGUACGAAAGAGGGUCGCGGAAUUCCCGGUGUAGAGGUGAAAUUCGUAGAUAUCGGGAGGAACACCGGUGGCGAAGGCGGCGACCUGGGUCGAGACUGACGCUGAGGCGCGAAAGCGUGGGGAGCAAACAGG